rnacentral:lncRNA from 1 species
AUACCAUUUGUGACACCAAUUUAAUUUAUUUCCAAAUCUUAAAAUCAUAUAUCACCACAGUUGUCCAGUUCUUUAGCGUCUCUUAUUAUAAUUACAGAACGGGCUGUGGAGUUAUCCAGGUGUGUUGAUAAGUCGUUAUCCUAAGGCUAUUUUUUUCUUAUUUUUUCUGUAGACUUAGAUUUCAUUUUUUAUUACCAUGCAUUGUCAAGCUUGGUAACUCAUAAUUAUUUGUCAGUAACUAAAUGUACGAUGCUGUCCCAUACUGAACCUUCUGACCUUGUUUGUUUACAUUUAAAUUUCAAUGGCGUCAAAAUCACGUGAUGACAAUUCGUUCUACCCAAUCAAAUUGCUCUACUGUCAAUUAGGGGAUUUUUCAGUCUACGGCAAUUACGUUAUUUCUUUGUGGGAUAUUGCUUCAAAAUAGUUUGCAAUUAUUUUGGGUUUUAUACAACAGGAAAACUAUUUUUUUGCCAUCCCUUUUAACAUCAAUGGAAUUCUGUAUGAAUAUUUACCUACAGUCAUGAUGGUCAGAAUAUCGAUCUUUUUAUAAUGAAUAAAAAGAAAAUUGUAUGAAAACUAAAUGUAAAUUGUUUUUUAUUAACCUACUCUAUAUUCCUGUACAAAAUUAUGGCAUGGGCAUCGAUUUUUCAUAUAGUUUUCCUUUCAUUUUGGUUGGGCUUUUUUCGCGGGAAAAUCGCAAAAGACGUAAGGAGCAUGUCAUUUUAAAAUUCCUAAAAAUACGAUUUGCUUGACCUGUAUUGCCUGCCACAAGAUUGAUGACGCUGAAUGGAAUGUACACAAAGCAAUGGAGGCCGGAAGUGGGAUUUUGUGAAGUUCUAGAAUGUUUUUAGACAUUCGGAAGUCGGGAUUGAAACGGGCAUUAGAAAAUUGGCAUUUCUUUUAGCAAUAAUUGAGAACAACAAUGAAAACUUACCUUCAGAAAUGUUUUUUUUUAUUCGAAAGUGCAGAAAAAACGUAUUCUCCUCUGUUUUUCUACGCCGGAAGUAGCGUAGUGACGUCAGUGCGGAGUUUCCCCGUGUGUUAAGUUCAAACACAAAUACCUAACGAACUGACAAGAUGAACGAUUUUAGACUACGGUAGGAUAUAUGAUUAUCGGCGAUAUGAAUUUCAUAUAUGAAUUUUGAAAUAUUCUAAUUUAUCUUGACAACUCCAUAAUUCCAUAAAUUAACAAUGAAAAACAAAGUGUAUCGAAAACA